rnacentral:rRNA from 1 species
GACGAACGCUGGCGGCGUGCCUAACACAUGCAAGUCGCACGGAACCCGCAAGGGUUCAGUGGCGGACGGGUGCGUAACACGUGAGGAACAUGCCUAUCGGCGGGGGAUAGCCGGCCCAACGGCCGGGUAAUACCGCGUACGCUCAUCGGGGGGCAUCCCCUGGUGAGGAAAGCAGCAAUGCACCGAUAGAGUGCCUCGCGGCCUAUCAGCUAGUUGGUGAGGUAAUGGCUCACCAAGGCAACGACGGGUAGCUGGUCUGAGAGGAUGAUCAGCCACAUUGGGACUGAGACACGGCCCAGACUCCUACGGGAGGCAGCAGUGGGGAAUCUUGCGCAAUGGCCGAAAGGCUGACNCACCGACGCCGCGUGUGGGAUGACGGCCUUCGGGUUGUAAACCACUGUCGGAAGGGACGAAUGG